rnacentral:rRNA from 1 species
AACGAACGCUGGCGGCGUGCCUAACACAUGCAAGUCGAGCGCGAAAAGGGCAACCCGAGUAGAGCGGCGCGCGGGUGCGUAACACGUGGGUAAUCUGCCUUAGAGUCGAGGAUAACCUUCCGAAAGGUUGGCUAAUACUCGGUAAGCUUACGGUGUCUUCGGACGCUGUGGGAAAAGUAGGCCUCCGUUUACAAGCUUACGCUCUGAGAUGAGCCCGCGGCCCAUCAGCUAGUUGGCGGUGUAACGGACCACCAAGGCAACGACGGGUAGCUGGUCUGAGAGGACGAUCAGCCACACUGGAACUGAGACACGGUCCAGACUCCUACGGGAGGCAGCAGUGGGGAAUUUUCCACAAUGGGCGAAAGCCUGAUGGAGCAACGCCGCGUGUGUGAUGAAGGUUUUCGGAUCGUAAAGCACUUUCGACCGGGACGAAAAACCUCUGGCUAACAUCCAGGGGCCUGACGGUACCGGGAGAAGAAGCACCGGCUAACUCUGUGCCAGCCGCCGCGGUAA